GGCUGCAAUGGAGAAAGAAGCUACAGAGAGGACUGCAGCAGACUGUACCAAAAGGACUGAGCCCAGCAGUGCUGCAGCAGCUUUGCUGCUUGUGGGCCAGGAAGAAGGUACCUGGAAGAAUGGUUGGCUGAUCUCCUCCAGCAGGCUUUAAACUAGGCUCAUCAGGGGAAGGGGGGGACAAGGACAGAGGGAUCCACGGAACACUAAACCAUGAGAUACCCACAGGAUCAGCCCAGAGACAGCAUGGAAAAACAUUAAGAAGGCAGAAGCAAAAUAAAACCUCCAUAUUUUAAAUGGGCAGAUUUAACCAUCACUGUUAUUUACAAAGUAAUGUCUCUUUCAUUUUGUUUAAGGUGUCUUGUUCAGUAUUUUGUUCAUAAGUGUCUCCCAUUUGACUUGUUUCAAGAUUAAGUUAAAUGUCAAAAUAUCUCACCAGACUCAUAAAAUGAUGCCAUAGUAAGCAACAUUUUAACUUUGAAUGGGUAAAACAGUAAAACUAAACUGUAUAUUUUGACAUUAACUGAUAA